GACGAACGCUGGCGGCGUGCUUAACACAUGCAAGUCGAACGAUGAAGCCCUUUCGGGGGUGGAUUAGUGGCGAACGGGUGAGUAACACGUGGGUAACCUGCCCUGUACCCUGGGAUAAGCCUUGGAAACGAGGUCUAAUACCGGAUAUGACCUGCUCUCGCAUGGGGGUGGGUGGAAAGUUUUGGCGGUGCAGGAUGGACCCGCGGCCUAUCAGCUUGUUGGUGGGGUGAUGGCCUACCAAGGCGACGACGGGUAGCCGCCUGAGAGGGCGACCGGCCACACUGGGACUGAGACACGGCCCAGACUCCUACGGGAGGCAGCAGUGGGGAAUAUUGCACAAUGGGCGAAAGCCUGAUGCAGCGACGCCGCGUGAGGGAUGACGGCC
rnacentral:rRNA from 1 species